rnacentral:rRNA from 1 species
GACUGCGGAGGAUCAUUAAGAGACGUUGCCCUUCGGGGUAUACCUCCCACCCAUUGUUUAUUAUACCUUUGUUGCUUUGGCAGACCCGGCUUCGGCCCACCGGCUCCGGCUGGUCAGUGUCUGCCAGAGGACCUAAAACUCUGUUUGUUAAUAUUGUCUGAGUACUAUAUAAUAGUUAAAACUUUCAACAACGGAUCUCUUGGUUCUGGCAUCGAUGAAGAACGCAGCGAAAUGCGAUAAGUAAUGUGAAUUGCAGAAUUCAGUGAAUCAUCGAAUCUUUGAACGCACAUUGCGCCCUCUGGUAUUCCGGGGGGCAUGCCUGUUCGAGCGUCAUUACAACCCUCAAGCUUUGCUUGGUAUUGGACAUUGCCAGUUUCUGGCAGGUCUUAAAAUCAGUGGCGGUGCCAUUUGGCUUCAAGCGUAAUAAUUCUUCUCGCUUUGGAGAUCCAAGUGGUUACUUGCCAAUAACCCCCAAUUUUUUCAGGUUGACCUCGGAUCAGGUAGGGAUACCCGCUGAACUUAAGCAUAUCAAUAAGCGGAGGA